GGUCUGGUGCACUUGAGCGGAGGCGUAUUCUCACAGAUUUCAUAGUACCUGUAGUACCCUUUUUACCACGUUGCGUUUUUCCGCAACAAAAGGCCAUCUGGCGUUUGUCUUAUGUUUUGGUGAAAAACAACUAGGGAUCGUUUCUCAGCAGUGCCCUCUUUAGCCUUUUGUUUACUGCUAUUUAGCUCUUUUUUUAGAUGUUUUUUUAGCUAGUCUGGUAACUAGCUUGUUUCCACGUUUUUUUCCACAUCAAAAAGCCCUCUGGAGUUUCACUUUUUAAUUCUUCUUGGUGCAAGCAACGCAGAUUAGUUUUUUCAUCGCUACCUACAAGUGUCCUCUGAAGAAAGAGGAUUCGGUUCUACAGCAAUGGCUGCAUUUGUUUGCAUCAUUAGGUGAUCGUGCAAAGAGCUGGGAUAACGUGGCUGUGUUAGUUGACGAAACUAUUAAACCACAAGCUCCGUGUAGCCCAUUCCUACAGACCCCAACACGCCAGAACAUUAAACCAAAGGCCACUCUAAUAAGGAAUAAGAACACAGCAAACAG